UAGACAUGAUAAUUUCAUUUUGACUCACAUCCAACAGCGGAUUGCUGACCCCUUAAAGCUAACAUAGCAUUGGAUUUAGACCAUCCAACAUUGUUCAAAUUUGAAAUAUACAAUUUACAAGUAAAAAUUAUUUUUUAAUCAAACAUUGAAAUUUAGGCCAAUUACAACAGCAAUCCUAAAGAAGGAACAAUUAACGAUUGUGGAUAACAACGGAAACUAUUAUUCAGGUGAAAAAAGACUGCAUACCUUUUCAUCGAAGAGAGCAG
rnacentral:misc_RNA from 1 species